GUCUCUUUGUUUUUUAUAUAUAAAGAGUUGGGCCUGCUCGGUGAACAAUUGUUUUAACAGCUGCGGUAUUUUAACUGUACUAAGGUAGCAUAAUAAUUUGCCUUAUAAUUUGAGGCUAGAAUGAAUGGUUUGACGAAGGUUAAUCUGUCUCUACUUUAUUUUUUAGAAAUUAAUUUUUAAAGUGAAAAAGCUUAUAUUUUUUAAAGGGACGAGAAGACCCUAUUGAGCUUAUAAUUUUAUUAAUUUUAUAUUAUUAUUUAUUAUAGGGUUAUAUAAAUUUUAGUUGGGGUGAUUAAGGAAUAAUUUCAUUAAGUAACUUCCUUGGGUUAAAUAUUGUUGGAUAAAGUAACCAAUAUUAUUGCUUAUAUUAUAGUUACCAUAGGGAUAACAGCGUAAUUUAUUUAGAGAGUUCUUAUUGAAAAAUGAGAUUGCGACCUCGAUGUUGGAUUAAAGUAACCUCAAGGUGCAGAAGCUUGGAAGGUAAAU
rnacentral:rRNA from 1 species